rnacentral:rRNA from 1 species
UGAGGAAUAUUGGUCAAUGGGCGAGAGCCUGAACCAGCCAAGUAGCGUGCAGGAUGACGGCCCUAUGGGUUGUAAACUGCUUUUAUGUGGGGAUAAAGUGCGUGACGUGUCAUGCAUUGCAGGUACCACAUGAAUAAGGACCGGAUAAUUCCGUGCCAGCAGCCGCGGUAAUACGGAAGGUCCGGGCGUUAUCCGGAUUUAUUGGGUUUAAAGGGAGCGUAGGCUGUCUAUUAAGCGUGUUGUGAAAUAUACCGGCUCAACCGGUGGCUUGCAGCGCGAACUGGUCGACUUGAGUAUGCAGGAAGUAGGCGGAAUUCAUGGUGUAGCGGUGAAAUGCUUAGAUAUCAUGACGAACUCCGAUUGCGCAGGCAGCUUACUGUAGCAUAACUGACGCUGAUGCUCGAAAGUGCGGGUAUCAAACAGG